rnacentral:lncRNA from 1 species
AAAAAAACCCUUAUGAGACCUCCAACCAAAAAUUCUUGAAUAAGAGGCAAAUUAAAAUAAGGGCAAGCCUAUGGUAUGACAUGUUGUAGCACUUGAAAUUCUUUUUGAGAGUGAGUGUGUUUGUAAAUGAUCCCUCUUUGCUGUCUUUGUAAAUAUUGUGAUUUUAGGACUUUCUUUCUUGUAAGGGUAUAUGAACUGUGGAAUUGAACUGAAGUUGAGCUCUUUGAGUCAGUUGAACGUGCACUCAGCUGAGGGUAGCAUCUAAUCACAAUGUUGAGGCUCUGAAUUCACAUGAUUGAUUAGUUUUUUCUGUGCAUACUUCUAAUCUAGGAAGGGUGAAGCAAUUGUAAAUGCAUGCUCGAAAAACUAGCAAUGAACACCAUCCUGAGUCACUAUUGUUUCGUAUUUGUAAAUAGAGUUAAGAAUAGGCUGAGUAUGUUUUGCUUGCAUGAGGACAAGCAAGAGUUUAAGUUGGGGGUGUUGAUGUGCCGGAGAAUUUCGGCACAUUUCAAUUCUAAUUGCUUAGAUUCUAGCUUGUUUUAAUGUAAUUAUAAUUGAUACUCAUGUAGAUUUUUUGUUCCUACAGAACAAGAGGAAAGGAAGACCGAGGAUAUGAAAAUGGACGCAAAAAGAGAAGAAAAGAGCAUGAUAUGGCACAAAUGCACAUCUGCGGUCUAGUUUGGAGUUGCAGAACACACAUGCGGACCGCAUACUCGUCUCUCACAUAGCAGAGCGUUACAGGGUUUGGAGCAAAAAAUCAUAUCAAGAAUGCGGCACAAUCUGCGAUCGCAGAAUCAACAUGCGGACCGCAGAUGCGCCGCAAAAUGAAUAAGAAGAAACUCAAGGUCAAAGAUGCGAUGCAAAUCUGCGGUCGCAUAACUCAGUUGCGGACCGCAGAAUGGACCUGCGAUGAAGGCCUGGCACCUAGGGUUUUGGAUCUGCGGAGAGGCUGUUCAAAAUGCAGACCGCAGACCUGUUAUGUGACAAGUCUGCGAUCGCAGAUGUGACCUGGAAGGGCAAAUUUGUCCAUUUUAUGUCCCGAAAUUGGUCCACCUAUAAGUAAUUUUAAGAGACCUUUGUGGGCUCAUCUUGUCUUACCUUUUAGCUACACUCCAAGACAUUAAUAUUCCCUCUUUUCUGGAAGCUUUUGG